GAUGAAGAACGUAGCGAAAUGCGAUAAGUAAUGUGAAUUGCAGAAUUCAGUGAAUCAUCGAAUCUUUGAACGCACAUUGCGCCCGCCAGUAUUCUGGCGGGCAUGCCUGUUCGAGCGUCAUUUCAACCAUCAAGCCCCCGGCUUGUGUUGGGGACCUGCGGCUGCCGCAGGCCCUGAAAACCAGUGGCGGGCUCGCUAGUCACUCCGAGCGUAGUAAUACAUCUCGCUCAGGGCGUGCUGCGGGUUCCGGCCGUUAAAAAGCCUUAUUUACCCAAGGUUGACCUCGAAUCAGGUAGGAAGACCCGCUGAACUUAAGCAUAUCAAUAAGCGGAGGA
rnacentral:misc_RNA from 1 species